AUUGAACGCUGGCGGCAGGCCUAACACAUGCAAGUCGAACGGUAACAGGAAGAAGCUUGCUUCUUUGCUGACGAGUGGCGGACGGGUGAGUAAUGUCUGGGAAACUGCCUGAUGGAGGGGGAUAACUACUGGAAACGGUAGCUACUACCGCAUAACGUCGCAAGACCAAAGAGGGGGACCUUCGGGCCUUUUGCCAUCGGAUGUGCCCAGAUGGGAUUAGCUAGUAGGUGGGGUAACGGCUCACCUAGGCGACGAUCCCUAGCUGGUCUGAGAGGAUGACCAGCCACACUGGAACUGAGACACGGUCCAGACUCCUACGGGAGGCAGCAGUGGGGAAUAUUGCACAAUGGGCGCAAGCCUGAUGCAGCCAUGCCGCGUGUAUGAAGAAGGCCUUCGGGUUGUAAAGUACUUUCAGCGGGGAGGAAGGGAGUAAAGUUAAUACCUUUGCUCAUUGACGUUACCCGCAGAAGAAGCACCGGCUAACUCCGUG
rnacentral:rRNA from 1 species